rnacentral:snRNA from 1 species
GGAUGUAACAAUGAUCUGGCUGCAACAUCUGUCACCCCACAGAUCGCCAGGGUUGAUUUGGCUGAUUUGGCUGGCUAGGUGGGUGUCCCCUUCCUCGCUCACUGCUCCAUGGGUGUUCCAACCAAAGCUGCACACUCAGUUGAAGAGGACAACCAUCCCCGAUAGAGGAUAACUGGUCUUCCGUCAAGGGUAUACAAGUAGCUGCACUCCCUUGCUAGAACCUCCAAACAAGCUUUCAGUUGCCGCAACCAGAAAAAAUAAAUAAAUAAACUCUUGCCUAUUUCUACCAUAAAAGUUCUUCUGAAAUAAUGUUUUUAAAAU